GACGAACGCUGGCGGCGCGCCUAACACAUGCAAGUCGAACGGAAAGGCCUGCUUUCCCUUGUGGAUUGCGGGUACUCGAGUGGCGAACGGGUGAGUAACACGUGAGUGAUCUGCCCCCAACUUGGGUAUAAGCCUGGGAAACUGGGUCUAAUUCCCGAUAGGACUGCAGGGUGGUGCCUGUGGUGGAAAACGAUUUUCUAGUGGUUGGGGAUGAGCUCGCGGCCUAUCAGCUUGUUGGUGGGGUAAUGGCCUACCAAGGCGGCGACGGGUAGCCGGCCUGAGAGGGUGGACGGCCACAUUGGGACUGAGAUACGGCCCAGACUCCUACGGGAGGCAGCAGUGGGGAAUAGUGCACAAUGGGCGGAAGCCUGAUGCAGCGACGCCGCGUGGGGGAUGACGGCCUUCGGGUUGUAAACUCCUUUCGACCGCGAGGAAGCCACCUGGUUGGAAGGGUGGUGACGGUAGUGGUAGAAGAAGCACCGGCUAACUACGU
rnacentral:rRNA from 1 species